CCCUAUGGGGUGCACUCCGGCGAGACCCUGCUUGCCAACGAUGUAUCCCAGGAGCCGCGUUACUUCGCGCUCGACACCCUCCCUGAAACCCAAUCCGAGCUGGCCAUCCCGCUCAAGAUUGGCAGCACCGUGGAAGGUGUUCUGGACCUGCAGUCAGACCGCCUGGGUGCUUUUUCCAAGGAAGACCUGCUUGUGCUUAGCUCCCUAGCCGAUAGCCUGGCCAUUUCCAUCCACCGCGUGCGCCUGUUUGGGGAAUUGAAACAACGCACCGACCAGCGGGAUUUGAUUGCCAGGGUGAAUGAGUCCAUCUCCAGCAUCCGGGACCUCGAUAAGCUCCGGCGCACGGUGACGGAUUGGCUCCACCAGGACCUGGGCUAUCCCUAUGUGCAUAUCUUUUUAAAACAGUAUGUAAACAACCGCCUCGAAUACUACGCGGGAAUUGGCGGGAGGG
rnacentral:rRNA from 1 species